rnacentral:lncRNA from 10 species
GUCAGGGUUAGAGGACAGACCGUUCAGAAGUCAGCGUGAUUGAAGGCAUUUUAAAAAUUAUGUCAGAUCUUUCUCUUCUGCACCGUGGCAAUGUUUCCGGAUGCUUCAUUUUUAUUAAAACGAGGGCUUUAGUGACUCACUAUUGCCCCUAGGCUGAAGAUCAGACUCCCUCUGACAUUCAAGUCCCCCCAGGAUCUGACCACACCUCCUUUUCCUGUGUAAGCUCCUGCCACUCCUUGCAGCUGCAACCAGAUGUACCAAGGAAGGAUGAGAAGAAAGUGAGAAGAAGGGGAAUAAAAGAAGGUGAGAAGACAGGGAAAAAGGAGGAAGGAAGAAAAGGAGGGAGAAAGGUGAUGAAAAUGUUCUAAACCUGAUCGUGUUGGUUGCCAGCAACCCUGUGAAUAUAUUAAAAAUCAUUGAAUUGUACAUUUUACGUGAAUGAAUUGUGUGAUGUGGUAGACAGAAUAAUGUCCCCUUAAAGAUGUCUAUGUCCUGAACUUCAGAGCCUGUGAAUAUGUUAGCAUACCUGGCAAAGAAGAAUUAAGUUUGCAGAUGAAAUUAAUUCAGUUGCUAAUUAGCUGACUUUAAGACAGGAAGUUUAGCCUGGAUUACCCAGGUAAGCCCAAUGUAAUCACAAACGACCUUAAAAGUAGAAGAUGGAAUAUGAAGAGAGAACCAGAGAGGCAGCAUCUUGAGAAAGACUCAGCCCAGUGUUGCUGGCCUUGAAGAUGGAGGAAGGGAGCCACGAGCCGAGGAGGGCAGGUGGCCUCUAGAAGCUGGGAAGGGCAAGGAAAUCCAUUCUCCCCUAGGACCUUCAGAAAGAAACUCAGCCCUGCCAAUACCUCGAUCUUUGUCCAGUGAGAUUUGUGUCACGCUUCUGAUCCAUGGAACAAGAUAGUAAAUUUGUGUUACUUUAAGUCACUAAGUGUGUGGUAAUUUGUUGCAGCGUCAGUAGAAAACUAAUAUAUACGGUAUGUGAGUUAUAUGUAAAUAAAGCUGUUUAAAAAAAUGAUUGUUUUCUUAGGUGGCAUAAAUAGAAGUAUGACGUCUGGAAGGGUGGAGGUGAUAGUCUCUUUGCAAUCUAAGUGAGGCAGACUCCAUCUGGAGCUCAGCUCUGAAUGCCACACUGUAAGAGGAA